rnacentral:rRNA from 1 species
CCUACGGGUGGCAGCAGUGAGGAAUAUUGGUCAAUGGACGAGAGUCUGAACCAGCCAAGCAGCGUGAAGGAUGACUGCCCUAUGGGUUGUAAACUUCUUUUAUAUGGGAGUAAAAUGUUCCACGUGUGGGAUUUUGUAUGUACCAUAUGAAUAAGGAUCGGCUAACUCUGUGCCAGCGGCCGCGGUAAUACGGAGGAUGCGAGCGUUAUCCGGAUUUAUGGGGUUGAAAGGGUGCGUAGGCGGAAGGUUAAGUCAGCGGUAAAAUGUCGGGGCUCAACACCGGCCUGCCGUUGAAACUGGUCAUCUUGAGUGAGCGAGAGGUAUGCGGAAUGCGUGGUGUAGCGGUGAAAUGCAUAGAUAUCACGCAGAACUCCGGUUGCGAAGGCAGCAUACCGGCGCUCAACUGACGCUGAGGCACGAAAGCGUGGGGAGCGAACAGGAUUAGAUACCCGGGUAGUC